UACGUAGGGUCCGAGCGUUGUCCGGAAUUACUGGGCGUAAAGAGCUCGUAGGUGGUUUGUCGCGUUGUCCGUGAAAACUCACAGCUUAACUGUGGGCGUGCGGGCGAUACGGGCAGACUGGAGUACUCCAGGGGAGACUGGAAUUCCUGGUGUAGCGGUGGAAUGCGCAGAUAUCAGGAGGAACACCGGUGGCGAAGGCGGGUCUCUGGGCAGUAACUGACGCUGAGGAGCGAAAGCGUGGGGAGCGAACAGG
rnacentral:rRNA from 1 species